UACGUAGGGGGCAAGCGUUGUCCGGAAUCAUUGGGCGUAAAGAGCGUGUAGGCGGCCCGAUAAGUCCGCUGUGAAAGUCCAGGGCUCAACCCUGGGAUGCCGGUGGAUACUGUCGGGCUCGAGUCCGGAAGAGGAGUGUGGAAUUCCCGGUGUAGCGGUGAAAUGCGCAGAUAUCGGGAGGAACACCUAUGGCGAAGGCAGCUCGCUGGGACGUUACUGACGCUGAGACGCGAAAGCGUGGGGAGCAAACAGG
rnacentral:rRNA from 1 species